rnacentral:rRNA from 1 species
GUGGGGAAUCUUAGACAAUGGGGGAAACCCUGAUCUAGCCAUGCCGCGUGAGCGAUAAAGGCCUUAGGGUUGUAAAGCUCUUUCAGCUGGGAAGAUAAUGACGGUACCAGCAGAAGAAGCCCCGGCUAACUCCGUGCCAGCAGCCGCGGUAAUACGGAGGGGGCUAGCGUUGUUCGGAAUUACUGGGCGUAAAGCGCACGUAGGCGGAUCAGAAAGUCAGAGGUGAAAUCCCAGGGCUCAACCUUGGAACUGCCUUUGAAACUCCUGGUCUUGAGGUCGAGAGAGGUGAGUGGAAUUCCGAGUGUAGAGGUGAAAUUCGUAGAUAUUCGGAGGAACACCAGUGGCGAAGGCGGCUCACUGGCUCGAUACUGACGCUGAGGUGCGAAAGCGUGGGGAGCAAACAGGAUUAGAAACCCUAGUAGUCC